rnacentral:misc_RNA from 1 species
GAUGAAGAACGCAGUAAAAUGCGAUAAGUAAUGUGAAUUGCAGAAUUCAGUGAAUCAUCGAAUCUUUGAACGCACAUUGCGCCCGCCAGUAUUCUGGCGGGCAUGCCUGUUCGAGCGUCAUUUCACCCCUCAAGCACAGCUUGGUGUUGGGACUCGCGUUAAUUCGCGUUCCCCAAAUUGAUUGGCGGUCACGUCGAGCUUCCAUAGCGUAGUAGUAAAACCCUCGUUACUGGUAAUCGUCGCGGCCACGCCGUUAAACCCCAACUUCUGAAUGUUGACCUCGGAUCAGGUAGGAAUACCCGCUGAACUUAAGCAUAUCAUAAGCGGAGGA